rnacentral:rRNA from 1 species
UACAGAGGGUGCAAGCGUUGUUCGGAAUUACUGGGCGUAAAGCGCACGUAGGCGGCUUUCUAAGUCGGGGGUGAAAUCCUGGAGCUCAACUCCAGAACUGCCUUCGAUACUGGAGAGCUCGAGUCCGGGAGAGGUGAGUGGAACUGCGAGUGUAGAGGUGAAAUUCGUAGAUAUUCGCAAGAACACCAGUGGCGAAGGCGGCUCACUGGCCCGGUACUGACGCUGAGGUGCGAAAGCGUGGGGAGCAAACAGG